UGAUCCUUGCGGUCAAGUGGAUAGCGCUUCUGUUUUAGAAACUUACAUCGCGGGUUCGAACCCCGUUGGGGUCAA